rnacentral:lncRNA from 1 species
UGGCUAAACAUAAUAAAUCCAAAUUCUUUGUAACACACCGAAAUGUCCCACACAUUUCUUAAAAAUCUAGACUAAUGAUAAUUUAUUGACAUUCAUACUUUUUAAUCACUUGACUGCCUUUCAAGAACAAUACCAUAAAGGCUCAAUAGAUAAAAAACAAACAAUACCUAAAAAAAUGUGCAAUACAAUGAGUUAGGGUUGAAAGAAAAUAAAGUAUUUAUAAAACUUAUACUAAAUACUCAUAAGUAACAUUAUACAAUAGUUCAAAGUAACUAAGUUACAUUUAUAUAAACUACACUAAACUAAUAUAUUGUUAUAGUUUCGCAUAAGUAUUGACAUCAAACAUACAUCUUAUUUGCAUUAUAUAACUAGUAAAGUAAUACUCAUCAAGACUUAGAGACAAGAGGGAACUUAGGCCAAAGAAAAGCACCCAUAGCAAACUCUCUUUUGUAGGCCAAAUCACCAUUUGUAGGCAACCCAUAUUCCUUAAGGAGACGAUCAAGUUUCCAUUCAGGCAUGUUUUGGUAGUCUUUCUCUGUGUAUCUUGGAUAGUGAAGAGGCAUUUGAAAGUAGCUAACAUCAUUCUUUUUUGGACUCUCCAUAUUUGACCUCUUCUAGACACAAUUUGAAUAUCCUAAUUAUAUUAUAAUAUAUGUUUUUUGUGAAAAAAUAAAAGAAAUUGGUGUAUUCAAUGUUUUGAAGGAGAGAUAGUAUAUAUAUUUGGUGUGUUAAAAUAAG